rnacentral:rRNA from 1 species
UACGGGGGGGGCGAGCGUUGUUCGGAAUUACUGGGCGUAAAGCGCGCGCAGGCGGCCUUUUAAGUCUGCUGGUGAAAUGCCGGGGCUCAACCCCGUGCCCGCCACAGAUACUGGGAGGCUGGAGACGAGUAGAGGCAAGCGGAAUUCCGGGUGUAGCGGUGGAAUGCGUAGAGAUCCGGAAGAACACCGGAGGCGAAGGCGGCUUGCUGGGCUCGGUCUGACGCUGAGGCGCGAAAGCGUGGGGAGCGAACAGG